rnacentral:misc_RNA from 1 species
CAGAGUUGUAAAACUCCCAAACCCAUGUGAACAUACCUGUUGCCUCGGCGGCCUACCCGGCAGCUACCCUGUAGCUACCCUGUAGUCCGCCGAUGGAUUUCAAAACUCUUGUUUUUUUAAUAUCUCUGAGUCAACUAUAAAUAAGUUA